rnacentral:rRNA from 1 species
GACGAACGCUGGCGGCGUGCUUAACACGUGCAAGUCGAACGGUGAAGGGACCAGCUUGCUGGUUCUGGAUGAGUGGCGAACGGGUGAGUAACACGUGAGUAACCUGCCCCCUUCUUCUGGAUAACCGCAUGAAAGUGUGGCUAAUACGGGAUAUUCUGGGUCUGUCGCAUGGCGGGCCCGGGAAAGAUAUUGCUUCGGUGGGGGAUGGGCUCGCGGCCUAUCAGCUUGUUGGUGGGGUGAUGGCCUACCAAGGCGGUGACGGGUAGCCGGCCUGAGAGGGUGGACGGUCACACUGGGACUGAGACACGGCCCAGACUCCUACGGGAGGCAGCAGUGGGGAAUAUUGCACAAUGGGCGCAAGCCUGAUGCAGCGACGCCGCGUGAGGGAUGGAGGCCUUCGGGUUGUAAACCUCUUUCGCCAGUGAAGCAGGCCUGCUCCUUGUGGGUGGGUUGACGGUAGCUGGAUAAGAAGCGCCGGCUAACUACGUG